GUUGAUCUCUAUCUUGGUUGCCAAGGAAUGAAAGUCGAUUUAAGCUGUCGGUCUGCAUAUGCCGUCCCCACACACACACUUUAUUGUAUAUUUCGGACUCAAAUCUCGGCAAUGAUUCGAUUCUCCGGCCAGCCAAAGAUAAAUUAAAAUAACUAUAGAAUACCCAAUAGAUUACCUCCACACCGUAACCAUCUACACACCACCUUCAAAACGCCUAUAUCGACGUUCGAAGCACACCAAACCUUUUCCGACGACUUCAUUUUUCUGAUCUACUGCUUAUCUCCAAUUUAAGAAUCUCCGGCUAUCGCAACCGUUGAGGAAUCGGACCACCGUAGACCACCGCAUAUGACAACCAUGAAGGGGUGACAAAUCUGAAUCCUAUCGACUUUCUUGUAAUCAUCUUGUGCGCACGACUUUCGUGAUUGUCUAGACGUAAUCUAUUAUCUCCAGUUUGUGAUCAUCGCUUAAGGUUUAAGAUUAUGUACAUGUAUUAUAUUACCCAAGUCGGUCCCUUUUCUGUGAGGAUGACCAUAGACCCAUCAUUGUGGCAUAAAAUGAUGUGGCACCAUCCGUGACGGUGAGUUGAGUUCACGGCGUCUCUUCUGUUUUAGUCUAUGGACUUCUGUUCAGAGGCGUAUGGAUCGAUCCUAGGAAAAAGUAAAUAAAGUCUGAUAUCUGGUGAGUGGUCGGUGUGAUUUGCCCACACUCCAUUCAUGUCUGGAUACAUGGGUUAGCUACCCUGUAUCAACCUCUGUAAUAAAAUGAACCUUCUGGACUUCUGUAUAUUUUGAAUUAUGAAAACUUAGCCUUUUGCUAAAACAAAUGAUUUUUGAAGAACUUAGCCUUUUUUCUAAAAUAAAAUAAACCUUUUUUUUUCCUCUAUCCGCACACUGGGCAAAACUUUCAAAUUUUGCUCAGACGUACGUUUUUUGUGUUUUCUUCUUUACGUCAGGUUAUCAAGACAAUCUGGGACGGGAUACAGAAGAGUGCUCGAGUAAAUUGAAAAAAAAAACCGUAGAAAUAAUGUACUGGAUUAGAUAUCUUAUUUCCAUUAAGUUGUAAAGCCUUGUAAUACAUUUAAGUAUUAAUGGAAUUAUGUUU
rnacentral:lncRNA from 1 species